UCUCAUAAAUCAAUAUUCUUGAAGAUCCAAUUUUCUCUCUCACCUUCCAAGGAUCGUUUCAAAGAACCCUGCUAUCUCCCUCGAUCUCUUCUCCGGCAACCACAGCCACCGUGGCCUAUAUCUGAAAACCCUCCCCUGCUUCCUCUUACUUUCUACAAAUUGUUUACAUUGAUGACGAUAGGUGACGAUAGGGAUGGUGCGGGCUGUGAUGACGGCGGCGGCAAUAGUGGUGGCCGUCGGAGACGUUGACCGAUGACAGCAACGCUGUGCUCGGACUCACAUCAGUGGGUUGUUUACAUUGAUGACGAUGGGUGACGAUAGGGAUGGUGCGGGCAGUGAUGACGGCGGCGGCAAUAGUGGUGGCUGUCGGAGACGUUGACCGAUGACAGUAACGCUGGGCUCGGACUCACGUCAGUGGGUUUCGGGUGCAGAUUCAAGGAUUCGGGUUCGCGACAGGAGGAUGGGUUUUAGUGGCACAGCUUCAAUUCGGAUUCCGAUUUGUUUGGUUUGUUUCGGCUUGUGCGGUUCAGUCUCUGUUCAGUUCAGAUCUAGGGGUUUGCGAGUGGAAAUGGUGACGCCACUUGAGGGGUUUCUGACUGACGAACAGAGGGAGGUGUUGAAAACGGUAACUGGGAGCUGGUAGGUUUUGUCGUCGUCGCCCAAGUCACCGUUGUGGUUGAUUUCUGAACAUGAAAUUCAGGAGACGUCGUAAAUGAGGAAAGUGGAGAUGGAAGGUCGAU